rnacentral:rRNA from 1 species
AGUGAACGCUGGCGGUAGGCCUAACACAUGCAAGUCGAACGGCAGCACAGAGGAGCUUGCUCCUUGGGUGGCGAGUGGCGGACGGGUGAGGAAUACAUCGGAAUCUACUCUGUCGUGGGGGAUAACGUAGGGAAACUUACGCUAAUACCGCAUACGACCUACGGGUGAAAGCAGGGGAUCUUCGGACCUUGCGCGAUUGAAUGAGCCGAUGUCGGAUUAGCUAGUUGGCGGGGUAAAGGCCCACCAAGGCGACGAUCCGUAGCUGGUCUGAGAGGAUGAUCAGCCACACUGGAACUGAGACACGGUCCAGACUCCUACGGGAGGCAGCAGUGGGGAAUAUUGGACAAUGGGCGCAAGCCUGAUCCAGCCAUACCGCGUGGGUGAAGAAGGCCUUCGGGUUGUAAAGCCCUUUUGUUGGGAAAGAAAUCCAGCUGGCUAAUACCCGGUUGGGAUGACGGUACCCAAAGAAUAAGCACCGGCUAACUUCGUGCCAGCAGCCGCGGUGAUACGUAGGGUGCGAGCGUUGUCCGGAUUUAUUGGGCGUAAAGGGCUCGUAGGUGGUUGAUCGCGUCGGAAGUGUAAUCUUGGGGCUUAACCCUGAGCGUGCUUUCGAUACGGGUUGACUUGAGGAAGGUAGGGGAGAAUGGAAUUCCUGGUGGAGCGGUGGAAUGCGCAGAUAUCAGGAGGAACACCAGUGGCGAAGGCGGUUCUCUGGGCCUUUCCUGACGCUGAGGAGCGAAAGCGUGGGGAGCGAACAGGCUUAGAUACCCUGGUAGUCCACGCUGUAAACGGUGGGUACUAGGUGUGGGGUCCAUUCCACGGGUUCCGCGCCGUAGCUAACGCUUUAAGUACCCCGCCUGGGGAGUACGGCCGCAAGGCUAAAACUCAAAGGAAUUGACGGGGCCCCGCACAAGCGGCGGAGCAUGCGGAUUAAUUCGAUGCAACGCGUAGAACCUUACCUGGGUUUGACAUGGAUCGGGAGUGCUCAGAGAUGGGUGUGCCUCUUUUGGGGUCGGUUCACAGGUGGUGCAUGGCUGUCGUCAGCUCGUGUCGUGAGAUGUUGGGUUAAGUCCCGCAACGAGCGCAACCCUUGUUCACUGUUGCCAGCACGUUAUGGUGGGGACUCAGUGGAGACCGCCGGGGUCAACUCGGAGGAAGGUGGGGAUGACGUCAAGUCAUCAUGCCCCUUAUGUCCAGGGCUUCACGCAUGCUACAAUGGCUGGUACAGAGAGUGGCGAGCCUGUGAGGGUGAGCGAAUCUCGGAAAGCCGGUCUCAGUUCGGAUUGGGGUCUGCAACUCGACCUCAUGAAGUCGGAGUCGCUAGUAAUCGCAGAUCAGCAACGCUGCGGUGAAUACGUUCCCGGGGCU